rnacentral:rRNA from 1 species
GGCGGACGGGUGAGUAACGCGUGGGUAACCUGCCCUGUACUGGGGGACAACAGUUAGAAAUGACUGCUAAUACCGCAUAAGCGCACAGGACCGCAUGGUCCGGUGCGAAAAACUCCGGUGGUACAGGAUGGACCCGCGUCUGAUUAGCCAGUUGGCGGGGUAACGGCCCACCAAAGCGACGAUCAGUAGCCGGCCUGAGAGGGUGAACGGCCACAUUGGGACUGAGACACGGCCCAA